CACGCCGUAAACGUUGAGAACUAAGUGUUGGGGAGACCCAGUGCUGAAGCUAACGCAUUAAGUUCUCCGCCUGAGGAGUACGCACGCAAGUGUAAAACUUAAAGGAAUUGACGGGGGCCCGCACAAGCAGUGGAGCAUGUGGUUUAAUUCGUGGCUACGCGAAGAACCUUACCAGGUCUUGACAUCACCUAGCAAGCCAUGGAAACAUGGCCCUCCUUCGGGACUGGGUGACAGGUGG
rnacentral:rRNA from 1 species